CGCGGGGUGGAGCAGCCUGUUAGCUCGUCGGGCACAUAACCCGAAGGUCGUCGGUUCAAAACCGGCCCCCGCAACCA
rnacentral:tRNA from 1 species